rnacentral:rRNA from 1 species
AGAGUUUGAUCCUGGCUCAGAUUGAACGCUGGCGGAUGCCUUACACAUGCAAGUCGAACGGCAGCACGGGGGCAACCCUGGUGGCGAGUGGCGAACGGGUGAGUAAUACAUCGGAACGUGUCCUGGAGUGGGGGAUAGCCCGGCGAAAGCCGGAUUAAUACCGCAUACGCUCUGAGGAGGAAAGGGGGGGAUCUUUCGGGACCUCUCGCUCAAGGGGCGGCCGAUGGCAGAUUAGCUAGUUGGUGGGGUAAAGGCCUACCAAGGCGACGAUCUGUAGCUGGUCUGAGAGGACGACCAGCCACACCGGGACUGAGACACGGCCCAGACUCCUACGGGAGGCAGCAGUGGGGAAUUUUGGACAAUGGGCGCAAGCCUGAUCCAGCAAUGCCGCGUGUGUGAAGAAGGCCUUCGGGUUGUAAAGCACUUUUGUCCGGAAAGAAAACCUCUUGGUUAAUACCUGAGGGGGAUGACGGUACCGGAAGAAUAAGCACCGGCUAACUACGUGCCAGCAGCCGCGGUAAUACGUAGGGUGCAAGCGUUAAUCGGAAUUACUGGGCGUAAAGCGUGCGCAGGCGGUUCGCUAAGACAGAUGUGAAAUCCCCGGGCUUAACCUGGGAACUGCAUUUGUGACUGGCGGGCUAGAGUAUGGCAGAGGGGGGUAGAAUUCCACGUGUAGCAGUGAAAUGCGUAGAGAUGUGGAGGAAUACCGAUGGCGAAGGCAGCCCCCUGGGCCAAUACUGACGCUCAUGCACGAAAGCGUGGGGAGCAAACAGGAUUAGAUACCCUAGUAGUCC